GCUUCCGUAGCUCAGUUGGUAGAGUACGAGUUUCGUAAACUCGGGGUCCCGGGUCCAAUUCCCGGCGGAAGCU
rnacentral:tRNA from 1 species